rnacentral:rRNA from 1 species
CAGCCGCCGCGGUAACACGUAGGGUGCGAGCGUUAAUCGGAAUUACUGGGCGUAAAGCGUGCGCAGGCGGUUCGUUAAGACAGAUGUGAAAUCCCCGGGCUUAACCUGGGAACUGCAUUUGUGACUGGCGAGCUAGAGUAUGGCAGAGGGGGGUAGAAUUCCACGUGUAGCAGUGAAAUGCGUAGAGAUGUGGAGGAAUACCGAUGGCGAAGGCAGCCCCCUGGGCCAAUACUGACGCUCAUGCACGAAAGCGUGGGGAGCAAACAGGAUUAGAUACCCGUGUAGUCCCUGUCUCUUAUAC